CAGGAUUUAAAAAGUCUCAAAAGGCGUCCAACUUUCCUUCGUUAGAUGCUCCGGGAUGUUUCCCUUUCAGAGGCUGCUCAAGAUACCGGCUGAUAAGGGACCGACUGAAGGAAGCUUAAUUAUGGCCCGGAGAUGUUGGGACCAGCCGAGGAGCCUUCAGCAUCUCCCGCCGAGAGAAGCCAGGCCAGCUGCCAGCGCUGGGAGACGAGAAAACCCCGAGUGCCUGGAGACCCGAGCCCCAAGUUUGCCUGAAGCACCCUGCUCCCUUCAACAAGCCUGUGAAUGUGACGUCUGGAGAAAGGGUGAGGCCUGGGCCUUAUAAAGGAACCUGGAGCCGGGUGUAGUGGCUCACGCCUGUAAUCCCAACACUUUGGGAGACCAAGCAGGGAGGAUCGCUUGAGUCCAGGAGUUCAAGCGCAACCUGGGCAACAUAGCAAGUCCCUGUCUGUACAAAAAAUACAAAUACUAGCCCAGUAUGGUGACACAUGCCUGUAAUUCCAGCUACUCAGGAGGCUGAGGCGGGAGGAUCGCUUGAGCCCACUAGUUUGAGGCCAACUUGGGCAACCUAGUGAGACCCGAUCUCUAUAAAAAAUUAGCCAGGCAUGAUGGUACUCA
rnacentral:lncRNA from 10 species